CCAUUUCCAUAAACAAAUUAAUUCUUCAGUGAGAAAUCUGCAAGUGAAGAUGCUUCCAGAAAAGCAGCACUGGGGUCAUUCUCCACUGCAGGGCUGAAUCAUCUGUCCCAACAUGUCAGUGGAGUUGCCUGACAGGAGACUCCCUUUCAUCAGUGAGAUGUAGCGAUAAUUCUUUAUCUAUCUGGGAUGUGAAAUUUCUUUAGUUCUGCAUUCUCAAACCGCUCAACUGAAGCCAAUACCUUUCUUUUCAAAGUUCCUAGUUCUCUCACAAGGAGGCACAUUUUCUUGACCUGAUUUUCACAGUACUUUCAGAGUGAAGAACUUCAGAGCCAUCCCCCAAGUCCUUACAGUAUAUGUUUGUUUUUCAGGUCUUACUCAAGGUACUAAGCAAGAAUAACUUGACAACUGUGCAACAACUUGCCACUGAAGGGAUGUGUCUUCAGAAUCAAGAUUUAAAACAGAAGCAAUGCUGAAAGGAGCUCAUCCAUCCCCAGCCAAACAUACUUGCUUCCUUCUGUCUGCACUGGUGUUUAUACAACCGUGGUUCUGGCUGAAAAAUUACACAAUGCUGCAAACAGAAGAUUCAUGUUCAACCAGAACACGGUUGUAUUAUUUACAGAUAUGGUACAAUUUCCAUUAAAUAAGAGAGGAUUUUUCAGACUGAAAAAAGAGACAACUGGAAGGAUAUAACAGAG